AACGAACGCUGGCGGCGUGCCUAACACAUGCAAGUCGUGCGAGAAAGCUCCUUCGGGAGCGAGUAAAGCGGCGCACGGGUGAGUAACACGUAGGUAACCUGCCCCCCAGUCUGGAACAACUAGAGGAAACUCUAGCUAAUGCCGGAUGAGACCACGAUCCCUUCGGGGGUUGCGGCCAAAGAUGGCCUCUACUUGUAAGCUAUCGCUGAGGGAUGGGCCUGCGGGCCAUUAGCUUGUUGGUGAGGUAACGGCUCACCAAGGCUGUGAUGGCUAGCUGGUCUGAGAGGAUGACCAGCCACACUGGGACUGAGACACGGCCCAGACUCCUACGGGAGGCAGCAGUGGGGAAUAUUGCGCAAUGGGCGAAAGCCUGACGCAGCGACGCCGCGUGGGUGAUGAAGGCC
rnacentral:rRNA from 1 species